UACAGAGGGUGCGAGCGUUGUCCGGAAUCACUGGGCGUAAAGGGCGCGUAGGCGGCCCGGUAAGGUUGCGGUGAAAGCCCGGGGCUCAACCCCGGGUCGGCCGUGGCAACUGCUGGGCUGGAGCACAGUAGAGGCGGGUGGAAUUCCGGGUGUAGCGGUGGAAUGCGUAGAGAUCGGGAGGAACACCAGAGGCGAAGGCGGCGACCUGGACAGGUACUGACACUCAACUACGAAAGCGUGGGGAGCAAACAGG
rnacentral:rRNA from 1 species